UGGGGUGAUUGAAGAGAUUUAAGGUGUUAUAAAUAUUUGUAGGAUUUAGUAUAGUCAUUUAAAGUGCAAGUUGAAAUUGAUUGACAAUGAACCUAUUUGAAUGACUUGAUUAUUGCAUAUAUGGAAAAUGAUUGUCCAAACCUGUAAAUUUGAGCAUCUAAAUAUAGUUAGUAGGUAGACUGUAUAAUAAAUUAUAACUUAAAGCUAGUAGAUGCAACUUAUAGUAAUUCAAAAGGUCAUAGCCACUGAAUUUUAACAAUUUCGUCGAGUAAGAAAAAUAAACAGCAAUAAAAAGUUUUGAAAUAUGUUCAUCCAAAUCAAUAAAUAAAAGUAGUGACAUAAAUAUUUUUCAUACGAUCUUUAGAUAAAUGAAGUAUUAUCCUUACCCAUAUGCUGCAAAUGUUGCUGGCUGACCAAGUAAACCAAAAUGAAAAGAGCAAUGAUUGCUUCAUGGAAAAAAAUAUAGUGCACAGCUUACAGAAAAUAUGAAA
rnacentral:lncRNA from 1 species